rnacentral:rRNA from 1 species
UACGAAGGGGGCUAGCGUUGUUCGGAAUUACUGGGCGUAAAGCGCGCGUAGGCGGCGACCUUUGUCAGAGGUGAAAUCCCGAGGCUCAACUUCGGAAUUGCCUUUGAAACGGGGUUGCUUGAGUCCGAGAGAGGAUGGCGGAAUUCCUAGUGUAGAGGUGAAAUUCGUAGAUAUUAGGAAGAACACCGGUGGCGAAGGCGGCCAUCUGGCUCGGUACUGACGCUCAGGCGCGAAAGCGUGGGGAGCAAACAGGAUUAGAAACCCCCGUAGUCC